rnacentral:rRNA from 1 species
UGGGGAAUAUUGGACAAUGGGGGCAACCCUGAUCCAGCAAUGCCGCGUGGGUGAAGAAGGCCUUCGGGUUGUAAAGCCCUUUUGUACGGGAAGAAAAGCUUCGGAUUAAUACUUCGAGGUCAUGACGGUACCGUAAGAAUAAGCACCGGCUAACUUCGUGCCAGCAGCCGCGGUAAUACGAAGGGUGCAAGCGUUAAUCGGAAUUACUGGGCGUAAAGCGUGCGUAGGUGGUUUGUUAAGUCUGAUGUGAAAGCCCUGGGCUCAACCUGGGAAUGGCAUUGGAUACUGGCUUACUAGAGUGCGGUAGAGGGAUGCGGAAUUUCCGGUGUAGCGGUGAAAUGCGUAGAGAUCGGAAGGAACAUCUGUGGCGAAGGCGGCAUCCUGGACCAGCACUGACACUGAGGCACGAAAGCGUGGGGAGCAAACAGG